rnacentral:rRNA from 1 species
AUUGAACGCUGGCGGAAUGCUUUACACAUGCAAGUCGAGCGGCAGCACGGGGGCAACCCUGGUGGCGAGCGGCGAACGGGUGAGUAACACAUCGGAACAUGCCCAGUCGUGGGGGAUAACACUUCGAAAGAAGUGCUAAUACCGCAUACGUCCUGAGGGAGAAAGCGGGGGAUCGCAAGACCUCGCGCGAUUGGAGUGGCCGAUGUCAGAUUAGCUAGUUGGUGGGGUAAAGGCCUACCAAGGCAACGAUCUGUAGCUGGUCUGAGAGGAUGAUCAGCCACACUGGGACUGAGACACGGCCCAGACUCCUACGGGAGGCAGCAGUGUGGAAUUUUGGACAAUGGGGGCAACCCUGAUCCAGCCAUUCCGCGUGAGUGAAGAAGGCCUUCGGGUUGUAAAGCUCUUUCGGCAGGAACGAAACGGUGAGCUCUAACAUAGCUUGCUAAUGACGGUACCUGAAGAAGAAGCACCGGCUAACUACGUG